UACGUAGGGGGCGAGCGUUGUCCGGACUUAUUGGGCGUAAAGAGCUCGUAGGCGGUUUGGUAAGUUGGAUGUGAAAUCUCCAGGCUCAACUUGGAGGGGUCAUUCGAUACUGCCAUGACUAGAGUUCGGUAGGGGAGUGUGGAAUUCCUGGUGGAGCGGUGAAAUGCGCAGAUAUCAGGAGGAACACCCGUAGCGAAGGCGGCACUCUGGGCCGAUACUGACACUGAGGAGCGAAAGCGUGGGGAGCGAACAGG
rnacentral:rRNA from 1 species